rnacentral:misc_RNA from 1 species
AAGUCGUAACAAGGUUUCCGUAGUUGAACCUGCGCAAGGAUCAUUAACACGUAUCCAAACGUUAAAACCCCCCCGUGAACCUUCAUCCUGCUCGUGUAACCCGCUUAGUUCGCAAUCUCUGAUAAAUCAUGCCCGGAAAGUUGUAGUGAUUCAGAGACUGCGAACAUUUCCCCAAGCAGUCAGUGUCGGAAAGUGUCAUUGAUUGUGCAAGGAUAGGCUUCUACGAUUGCUGUAGACCGUACACUCGGGCAGGAGCUUUGCCAAAGGGUCCCCAUGCCCCCUAAUAACCCCACAGUUUAAUGUGAAGCUCAAUGUAAUACAUUGGGUAAAAAAACCGAACAACUGUUAACAAUGGAUAUCUUGGUUCUC